CAGCAAAUGACCUACCAUCUCACCAUCUCUGUAUCCUCGGUGUCCAAAAACCUCCUCUCUGGUCUUCCUCUUGGCCACCAACAUGACAUGCUAACAGUGCAGCCUCCAGAGUGUCCGCAGAGCCUGGCCUCUCUACCCACCUCACUGGCUCCUGUGGGCACAGUUUGGCUUGACAUGACUGCCCCGGGCACUGGUCCCAUCCCUGCACUGAGGUGAUGAAGGAGAACUCACCCCCCACCCAUUGGUCACCGAGGUGAGGAGGCACCCAGGGGACACACAGGCGGGCAAGGCGGGCGUCUCAGGCCACACUCACACAGCUGACCAGACCAGACAUGGCUGCUUUCAAAGGAUGGUGCCAGCGAGUCUUGCCCAGCGCUGCCCACGGCGACUACACUCUGAAGUGUUCCACAGCCACUACAGUGCCAUCAGAUUCUACAGAGCAGAUGGAAGUGAGCAUGUUGGUGUCCCAGGAGAGGUUUGGGGAGAGGACAGCAGAAGAUUGAGUACAAGGACACGGGGCCAUUAAGGAUAUAUUCUCUUUAAUCAGGGACAUGCUGGAUGCUGAGGGACCUGGGACAGUGACUGAUGGAGGGGAGAGGUGAGGAACGCACUG